AAGCCGACGAUGCGUAGGGGUUCUGAGAGGAAGGUCCCCCACAUUGGAACUGAGACACGGUCCAAACUCCUACGGGAGGCAGCAGUGAGGAAUAUUGGUCAAUGGCCGGAAGGCUGAACCAGCCAAGUCGCGUGAGGGAAUAAGGCCCUAUGGGUCGUAAACCUCUUUUGUCAGGGAGCAAAGGCGUCCACGUGUGGACGAGAGGAGAGUACCUGAAGAAAAAGCAUCGGCUAACUCCGUGCCAGCAGCCGCGGUAAUACGGAGGAUGCGAGCGUUAUCCGGAUUUAUUGGGUUUAAAGGGUGCGUAGGCGGAGUGUCAAGUCAGCGGUAAAAUUUCGGGGCUCAACCCCGUCGUGCCGUUGAAACUGACACCCUUGAGUGAGUGAGAAGUAAGCGGAAUGCGUGGUGUAGCGGUGAAAUGCAUAGAUAUCACGCAGAACGCCGAUUGCGAAGGCAGCUUACCGGCGCUCAACUGACGCUGAGGCACGAAAGUGCGGGUAUCGAACAGGAUUAGAUACCCUGGUAGUCCGCACAGUAAACGAUGAAUGCUAGAUGUCCGGGGCGAAUGAGC
rnacentral:rRNA from 1 species